GGGUCUAUAGCUCAACGGCAGAGCUACCCGCUCAUAACGGGUUGGUUAUAGGUUCGAAUCCUAUUGGACCCA
rnacentral:tRNA from 1 species